rnacentral:rRNA from 1 species
AGGACGAACGCUGGCGGCGUGCUUAACACAUGCAAGUCGAGCGGAAAGGCCCUUCGGGGUACUCGAGCGGCGAACGGGUGAGUAACACGUGAGUAAUCUGCCCCUAGCUCUGGGAUAGCUCCGGGAAACCGGGAUUAAUACCGGAUACGACCACCUUAGACAUCUUUUGUGGUGGAAAGAAUUUCGGCUAGGGAUGAGCUCGCGGCCUAUCAGCUUGUUGGUGGGGUAACGGCCUACCAAGGCGACGACGGGUAGCCGGCCUGAGAGGGCGACCGGCCACACUGGGACUGAGACACGGCCCAGACUCCUACGGGAGGCAGCAGUGGGGAAUAUUGCGCAAUGGGCGAAAGCCUGACGCAGCGACGCCGCGUGGGGGAUGAAGGCCUUCGGGUUGUAAACCCCUUUCAGCAGUGACGAAGCGAAAGUGACGGUACCUGCAGAAGAAGCGCCGGCUAACUACGUGCCAGCAGCCGC